AACGAACGCUGGCGGCAGGCUUAACACAUGCAAGUCGAACGGCCCGCAAGUGGAGUUGCAGACUGGUGAGUAACGCGUGGGAACAUACCCUUUCCUGCGGAAUAGCUCCGGGAAACUGGAAUUAAUACCGCAUACGCCCUACGACGGGAAGAUUUAUCGGGGAAGGAUUGGCCCGCGUUGGAUUAGCUAGUUGGUGGGGUAAAGGCCUACCAAGUCGACGAUCCAUAGCUGUUAUGAGAGGAUGAUCAGCCACAUUGGGACUGAGACACGGACCAAACUCCUACGGGAGGCAGCAGUGGGGUAUAUUGGACAAUGGGCGCAAGACUGAUCCAGCCAUGCCGCGUGAGUGAUGCAGGCCUUAGGGUUGCAAAGCUCUUUCACCGAUGAAGAUAAUGACGGUAGUCGGAGAAGAAGCCCCGGCUAACUUCGUG
rnacentral:rRNA from 1 species